UUUUAUUUUCCCAUGAAUAUUUCAUUUCCUACUACACAAAACUCUCUCUCAUUUUCUCUCUAUCUCUCACAUUCACUCUCACACACACACACAUCUUCACAUUCACACUCACACUCACACACAGCUCCACUAGCACCGACGAGGAAAGACCAACCCAGCGCCACCGAGCCCAGCACCGACGAGGAAAGACCAACCCAGUGCCGCUGAGCCCAGCACUGACAAGGCCAAACCCAACUUAGCCCUCCUCUGGCCCAAAUCUCCUUUUGAUUGCUCAAUGAAUUCAAAGCUCUUUUCGUUUCAACGAUCUUAGCCAGGGUUUUGGGAAAUUAACCGACGCUCAUAAAGUGUUUGAUGAAAUGCCGAGGAAGAAAGUUGUUACUUGGACCGCUGUUAUUGAUGGGUACUUCGAAUUUGGCAUUUGGGUUUGAUCAUUUUUGGACAAACUAUAUGAUCGUUUCUUGUAGGACAAAUUCCUCUGGAAUUUUGGGAUUUGUUUAUCUGGGGUUCCUUGUUAAAAUAAGCACAUCAAGUAGUCAGGAAAUGCCUAACUCUUCCUUAUAAUAAUACCAAGUCCCACAUGAGAAAAUUAGAAAGAAAGAGAAAA